CUUGCUGUCCCCGGGGCUGGAGGAGCACAGGCCUCCCAGGCAGGGGCCCUGGCCUUGCUGGAUUCCCAUCUCCUUUCAAGGGUUGAGCCCCCAAGGGCCAGAAGUGAGAGGUGAGUCGGAGCAGGCAGGGCGGGAUGAGGAGGGACCCGACCUCCCAAAGGCUAGCCUGGGUAGGACCCCAGGGGCUGGCAGAGUCUCAGUUGGGAAGGGCUGGGGCCGGGCACAGGGUGUGGCAGGUGUGGACUUGACAGCAGACAGCUCCCUGGGGUUGUGGGGGUGGCGGGCUCCGGGCCAACGGCCUCAGCCAAGCUUGGGGAUGGAGUCCUGUAAAGCCUGAAGGGCCCGUGCAGAGUCCUCGAAUGCUAACCAGCAGGUCAGAGAACUGGCUUCUCUGUGACCCCUGACCCCGUAUUCCAAUUUAAUGAUGGCCAAAGCAGGCCUGACUCAGGCAUCCCGCCUGAGGGGAUGGGACUGAGAGCCCAGAGGAAGGCGUGAGGCCGGAGGCUCAGGAGACCCCGGGUUCCUCCAGGCCAUAGCCGGACAUCACCUGGUGGCCUGGCCCAGGCAGGUGAGGGCUAGAGUCUGUCCGUCCAGCCCCUCGGCGGGCCUGGUGGCCGGAGCGUUCCUGGCCGCCGCUGUGCGGUGCCUGUGGUAACGGGGCUGUUGGCGUUUUGCAAUGGGCCGGGGGUGGGGAGGCUGCGCACACAUGCUUCCUGUGGUGACUGGGCGCUUCCUGUUUUCUCAGGCGCCGGACUUGCUACUGCCGAUGUGGAAACAGGGGCAGCUGCAGCCCGGGUGGCUCCGGGCUGGGUGCCCCGACCCUGCCCAGAGGGGCCUAAGUGGGCCCGCCACCCCAGGCCCCGACUCGGGCAGUAAAUGGCCUGGGUUACCCGCCACACCAAGCCCCGUCCUUCCCCAUCCCCGACCGCUUCCGCCCAGAGGAAGGGGCCAGGCAGGGGCUGUCCCUCAAGGCCGAGCAGGUGGUCCAGGAGGUCAGAGGUCCAGGUGGGAGCACUGGCCUCAGCUCUGUCGUUUGCUCACGGAGUAACUUUGGCCAUCCCUGCCCCACGGCAGACAUGGUCUCCCCUCGUAUGCGGUGAUCUGAAAUCUCUCACCCCUUUCUGCUCCAGUUCUGACGUCGCUUAGUUUUCCCGUCCCAAGAGCCUUAGCUUCGGGGGCAGGGGGUGAGCACUGAGACUGGGAUCUGGUGGGGGGGGGUUUUCUCGGCCUUGACAGAGAAGGGACUUGGAGAGAAGUGGGCGGGGGGAGGUGGUUGGUCAGGUGGGGCAAGCAGACUUAGAACAAGGCGUGGAGGCGGGAAGGCCAGGAUCAGGUUUGGAGCUGCUUGGUGAUGGGCAUAUGGGCAUAUGGGUAGGUAGGUGACAAGGUUGAUCUGGAAGGAUUCAAAGUGAGAGAAAGAUGUUAGGAUGCUCUUUAUUUCUGCAGACUCUAGGAGAGUCUCUGAUACCCGCCCCCCAUUUUUCCUCAGAGAAAAGACAAGCAGUGGUUUGGAGAGCGGGGGCAGGGCCAGCCCUUCCCUUCCCUCUGCCAAGAUGAUGAGUGCCCAUGUGGUGCCAUCUGGGGACCUCAGGAGGGCCCUGAACCCGUGUCCCAUGCCAGGUGCCUGGAGUUCCACCGCCAGGGCCAGGCCUUAGAAUUUGGCAUUGCCCUCUUCCCUAAUGUGUUUUGUUUUGUUUUUAAGCUGCUCUUUCGAGACGGGGAGGGGAGAUGACUUUGCUUCUUGUUGAGUUUGCUGACAGCGUCUGACCUCAGGAAGAAGAGUUUCUUUGCAGGAAGGCCCAGGCCCGAGACCCCUGGGAACUACCAGUCCACUGACUGAGUUUGGCCACCCCUUUGGUGGAGGAAUCUUUGAGAUGCCCACCUCACGAGUAGCGCCUUCCCCGUAAAUCUCGAGGCCUGCCUACUACAGACAGCAUGAGGACUGAUUCCAGCCAGAGGCCUCGGGGAUCCUAAGAUCCAGAGGCCCAGCCUGAAGGGCCAUCAGGCCUGCCUGGCCCCCACCAUCCCAUCUUCUGCCUUGGUGCCUUGGUGCCUUGGGUCAGCCCAAGUGCUGAGUUGGCGGCUCAGCAGCUGCUUCUGCCCAAGGAGGCCCAGUUAUAAAUAAGCCCAGUGUGGCCAAGUCAUCAAGUUCUGCCCCAGCUGCAUUACCUCAGUGACCACAGGUUGGGGCUGUCCAGACCCAGGCCCACCAGAACCUGUCCCCCCAGGCCAAAGCUGGGCCAGCCUUGGUGCCUGCUAGGGUCCUCAAAUCCAGGGUUUGAGCAUCUGCAGCCGCUCAGACCUGGACCUUCCUGGACACAGGCCACAGAAGGGGCAGGGCCCAUCCCGCCUGCACGGAGCCAGCAGCUAUUUACAAACCGAAACCGGGAGAAGUGAAGUGGCUGCGGCCAAAGUGGCUCCAGGCCCCCAGCCCCCACUCCCACUCCAUCCCCUGCGGCCCCCUCCCCCUCCCUCAUGGCUUCCUCUUUCCUUCCCCACACAGCUCCCCAACCUCCCACUGCCCGGCCAGCUUUCUCUGGACAAGCUGCCAGCACCUCGAGUGACCCCCAGCCCCACAGCUGCUUGUCUGGAGCAGGGGGUGUGGGAGGGUCCCUUUCACCUACUCACCUCCAGGACCCCAUCAGUCUGGGCUCCUAGAGCGGCCCCCUCCCACCCGAGCCCAGCCCACUCUGGCCUGCCCAAGGCAGAUUCCCACAGCUCUCAGUUCCCCUUCGUGCCUGGAAAAGCUCCAGCACCAAUGGCCACCAUGACACUGCCCAAGGGCAGCUUCUCUGGGGGCCCAAGGAAUCUGGGGUACUGUGGUGGCACUUGGGGCACCUGGGGCCUUCAAGGGGCAUCUUUCUGGGCAGGAGGCCCUGGUCAUCACUCUCUUUGAGUUGGGGUUGGGCCCACUGGGUGGGCUGGUCUGAGUCACGGGCCCUGGUGCAGGGCAGAAUUGAGCUGGGACAGACAGACCCUGGGGCCGAGGCCACGACACACGUCGCUUAGGACCUGGCAGGCAGGAUGGUGCUGUUCCAGGCAGAGAUAACAGCCAACUUAAGUAAUACCGAUUUCUGAUAAAUGAUCAACUCCCUCACGUUGGCGCACAGGGUGACUGUUCCUGUCAGUCGGUUCUGUCUCUAGAUCAGCCUAUGCCAUUAUCUCCAUCAUAAAGUGGACACUGGGGCUCAGAGGGGAAGUCACGUGUUCAAGGCUACCCAGCUGGAUGGAAAGGGUCUGGACUGAGGUUCAAGAUUUCCUGACACCCAGUUGCCCUCUCUUGCUCCAUCUGGCACCCCAGUCUCCCAUCCGGGAGGACAGAGGUUUCCCAGCACUGUGACAAGGCAGGAGUGGGGUGGCCUGAAGCUCAAGGGGAAGUAGGCCUCGGACAGCGGGGUUGCCAGAUGGGGUCGUCAGUGCCCAGUGCCCCAUUCCUGGCCCCCGGGAAGGCUCUGCCUGUCCUGUUCCUCGCCUCCCAUCAAGUUCCAGCUGAGGCAAAGCCCUGGCCCAGGCCCCCUUCAGUUGUAGUCAGUGGCUGCAUUUCACCUAACUUCUCUGAGCCUCAGAAUCCUCUUCUGCAAGUUGUCACUCCGCAAACACAGAGCACCGGCUCGAUGCCAGCCCCAGGCUAGGUGCAGGGUGUCUCUAGAGCUAGGAUGAGGCUGCUGCCAUGGUUCUGGGGAGGAGGCAGAUGAGUUAUGUUAUCCUGAGAACUCCGAGAGGGAAACUGAGGCUGUGGGACACCAAGAAGAAGUGACAAGGGCUUCCUGGGGCGAGGAGGGUGCCACUUGGGAUGGGAUAGGAAAGAGUUCCCCAGAAAAAGCAGCGGGGGAUGGGCUCUCCAUGCUGAGUCACGCCCCUGUGCUUUGGUGCUAGUGGUUCCCACGGUCCAAGUCCAGGGCCCUUCCUUCCUCUGGGGGCAGUGAACUUCUACCCAUCUGUCAGGGUCCAUGGACACACCAUAGCACAACUGGACCUGGCCUGGCUUGAUGGCUCCUCAUCUCCCUCUUCCCACCCUGGGCCUGAGCAAAUCUGGACACCAGGCCUCCUUGGUCACGACACCCUCGCCAGCCCCACCCAGGCAGGCAUCUGCUCCCGGGCUCGAGCCCCCGCCGUCCUCUGCUCCGAAAAGCACCGUUUCCCUUUUCUGGGUGACCACACGCCAUGCACAGGGAAUUUCCAUCUUAGCCUGUGGAGCCUCUGAUUCACUCAGGGCCCUUAGGCAGUUAACUCCUUCCGGCUCCGUGUCUCCUACUCCUGCACCCCAGGCUGCCCCCUCAUACCAGCCUGGAACUCCUCGGCAGCUUCAAACUGGCCUUGGGCCCCACGGCCUGGAAAUCAGGCCCGCUCCUCACUCACAGGCCCCCUCAGGACCCUCCCACUCCUAUCCAGUCACAGAGACCCCCGUCCCACCGGCUCCGGGCACACACACUGGGGCAGCUUUGGGCUGAGAGCACAGGCUUUGGAGGAAGAUAAGCCUGGCCCUGCCCUGAUUCUGGCCCUUUCUGCUUGGUGCCUUGGAGCAGGGUCAGUACCUGCUCUGAGUCUCCUUUGUCAUCUGUGAAACUGAGGUGAUUCCUGUCCCAGAGCCUAUCAUAAAGAUCCAGUGUGCCGGGCUCCUGACCAGAGCCCAGUAAUGGUCACUUUUCCUUCUUUGCAAAGGGGCCCUCAUCCGAUGGCAGGGUCCCUGCUCAGAUGGGGCCCCCUUUCCCAGUCUGGCUUUCCCCUCCCACGAGCUGAUUGCUCAGGGCAGGGGGUGGGGGUGGAGGGAAGUGUGGGCAGGGCCCGAGAGGGUGGGCUGCUGCCAUCUCAAGGCUCUCCUGCACCCGCUUCCCGGCUCCUCAUGUUCCUCGGUUUUUCCAAGGAGGCUUUGGAGAGGCCAGGGGGUAGGAGCUGGAGGAGCUGAGGGCUGCAGAGAUCCUGAGCCCCUCCAGGACAGGGCCGAGUCUUCCUCCUCCUGAGGGUUGCCAGGCGUGCACAUCACACGCCAGGAUCUCACGUGCUGUCCACUCAGAUUCUCACAGCCCCGUGCAGGGAGUCCUGCCAUUGCCCCCAUCUUGCAGAUGAGGACACUGAGGCCCUCAGUGCGUCCUUGGCCACGCAGUGAACAAAAGGCAGGAACAGGAUUCAGAUCGAGGUCUCUGGAGCCAUACUCCUAACUUCCGCAAGGCUCAGGGAGCAUUUGUGGAGGCCAUUGAGGGAAACGUGCACUCAUUGAAACCCUGCUGUGUACAAGGGGAAGGCUGGCACUGAUUUUUUUCUUUCUCGCCUCUGUACAACACUGGGGCUAGGCCUUGUGACCCCUCUAUAGAAUUGAGGCAGCUGAGCUUGGGGGUAGGGGGGGAGGAGCUGGCCCAGAGGCUACUCAGCCAGUUGUGGGGAAGGAUCCAGUGGUACCGAGCCAGAAGAGGAUGGUGUCCGGGCCUCCACAGAAGAGGGGGCCUGGGUGGGGGGAAGCGGCUCCUGGCCUCAGUGAGCGAGCAGGGGGGUGCUGCCCGUGGUGAGCAGGAGGAAGUCGCUGUGGGUGGCGGUGGGUUUGAGGUGCCGGAGGCUGAGUGAUGUGGCCGGGAGGUGAGCUCCCCAUCUGCAGGCCUGGUCAGCAGGAGACACGGGUGUGAGUGGGGAGGCUGGGAUUCAGGGCACGGAGGAGAUCAGGCUGCUCAGGGAAUUUGUGCCUCCUGGCCCCUGGGGCUGGUGCUGGGGGGCCGCAGGAGCUGGUGUGGAGUGUAAGGACAGACUCAGAAGGGCUGGGGAGAGAUGGAGGUGAACAGGGAACGAGGUGUCUGGGGGACAGCCUGGAGGAGGCGAACCCUUGAAAGACACAAGGCCUUAGGGUGUGGAGGGGGGUGGGACUGUGAGCAAAGGCCGUGGGAGAUUGAGAAAGAGGUUCUGGGAAUGUUGAGUAGUGUCUUCUGGCUGGAGGUGGGGGUGGGGCUGGUCCGCUUGGGGUGGGGGAGGGUGGAAAGGCUGGCCGGUCUCUCGGGGCGUCGGGAGUGGGGGUGGGGGUUCGGCACAGGCCUCAGGGCUUUGGAUUUCAGCCCGUGAAGAAGCCAGAGCCAAGGAAAAAUUGUAGGUAGGGAAACGCCCAUGGGAGAGUCAGCACAGAAGCACACACCCCAGGGCCACUCAGAGAAGCAGUCGCCCCCACCCCUGACCCGGCCAGCUGUGUGACCUGGGGCACAAGAGCCCCGUUUCCCUUGUCUGUAAAAUGGCACUGAGAGUAAAUUCACAGGAUCACGGGAGGCAGAAAGAGUUAAUGCAGGUUGAUGACCGACUGACCGACCACAGGGCUUGACCCAGGCCGGGUCCUUUCAGGGGUGGGCGUUGUUCUGGCCCCACAGCACCUUAUGAGCGCUCGCCUUGGGUACCACUGGGGUCUCCUGCAAACCUGGAAUAAGCCUCGUCUGUGUUGGUAACGGCCCCAACUUCAAGUAUGAAUAAGCAAAUGAACUUGGCCACGGGGCUCUUGUUCUCCCUGAGUCAAAACCAAAUUCCACGCAACACCCAAGGUGUGACAGGACACGCCACACAGACCAGCGCCUCCCUCCUCCCGCUGGCUCAGUUCACACUGGUCCCCCGGAGCUCUUCUCCCAGGUGGCUGCCUAGCUGGCUCCUUCCCUUGUUCCCGAGGCUCGUUCAUGUGUCUCCCUCUCUGGGAGGCCGGUCCCGUCCACCCUCUUCCUGCUGCAAACUGCCCCCCCACCGGUCUGGGAUUCCCUGCUGGGCAGUCUCCUUGCCUAGAGCACCUGCUACCUGCUCGCCUACUCUCAGUAUGUAUCCCCUGCCUUUCCUGCACCAGAACAAUUCCAGAAGGACAGGGAUUUUUGCCCGUGUGGUCGCCUGGCCCAUAGAGGCCCCGAGCAGAUAUUUGUUGGCUGUCCUAAUGCAGUAAAGAGCCCGCCCAGGGCUCUGACCAGAGCUUGGGGAGUUCUGAGGGGCCCAAGGAGCCUCUCCCAGUGUCUCAACCAUGAGAGGAAGUUGCAAGACGGCCAUUUCUGUACAUGGGCUCAGCUCCUUUUGGUCAACUUUCCCAGCUCAUGCUCUGAGGCCUGAGUUUUCCCACAAACCCCGUCACGCCCUGUGGGGACCACUUGCUGGGAAGGUGUAAGGGGGUGCAGUUACCUCUUUUUAGAGCUCUUUGGAGCUGAACAGGAGGGUCUGUGAGAUGAGGGGUUGUGUCCCCCUUGUGGACUCAGCUUCGAGGGCACUCUGCCCACGUUUCCUGUUGCCUGUGAUUGCAAUAGCACCCAGCCUACCCCGUCAGCCACCCAGCCCAGUGGGGGCAAAGGGCGCACAGUGCUCCACCACCCCAGGCCUGCCUGACCUCCCUGUCACUUUGCAGGGCCCAGCCCUACAUGGCCUCCCCCUCAACCAAUGGGGUGGGAACAGCAGUGUCAUGUGCUGCUGGUGGGAGGGUGAGCUGGUCCAACUUUUACCCAGGACAGUGUGACAAUAGCUUUGUGGCUCUCUCCCUCUCUACUUAAAGCUUUAGAAUGAAGCACACUUAAAACUAAUAUAGUGUUAUAUGUCAUUUAUACCUCAAUAUUAAAAAAUUCAUCUCGGGAGUUCCCGUCGUGGUGCAGCGGAUGUGAAUCCAACUAGGAACCAUGAGGUUGUGGGUUCGAUCCCUGGCCUCGAUCAGUGCGUUAAGGAUCCAGCAACGCUGUGAGCUGUAGUGUAGGUUGCAGAAACGGCUCGGAUCUGAUGUGGCUGUGGCUGUGGCGUAGGCCGGCAGCUGUAGCGCCUAUUCAACUGCCAGCCUGGGAACCUCUGUAGGCCACAGAUGCGGCCCUAUAAAGCAAAAAGCCAAAAAAAAA
ensembl:lncRNA